GCCGCGGUAAUACGGAGGGUGCAAGCGUUGUCCGGAUUUAUUGGGCGUAAAGCGCACGUAGGCGGUUUGUUAAGUCAGGGGUGAAAUCCCGGAGCUCAACUCCGGAACUGCCUUUGAUACUGGCAAGCUAGAGUCCGGAAGAGGUGAGUGGAACUCCUAGUGUAGAGGUGGAUUUCGUAGAUAUUAGGAAGAACACCAGUGGCGAAGGCGGCUCACUGGUCCGGUACUGACGCUGAGGUGCGAAAGCGUGGGGAGCAAACAG
rnacentral:rRNA from 1 species